CCUACGGGAGGCAGCAGUGGGGAAUAUUGCACAAUGGGGGAAACCCUGAUGCAGCGACGCCGCGUGAGCGAUGAAGUAUUUCGGUAUGUAAAGCUCUAUCAGCAGGGAAGAAAAUGACGGUACCUGACUAAGAAGCCACGGCUAACUACGUGCCAGCAGCCGCGGUAAUACGUAGGGGGCAAGCGUUAUCCGGAUUUACUGGGUGGAAAGGGAGCGUAGACGGCGGUGCAAGCCAGAUGUGAAAGCCCGGGGCUCAACCCCGUGACUUCAUUUGGAACUGUGCUGCUAGAGUGUCGGAGAGUCAGGCGGAAUUCCUAGUUUAGCGGUGAAAUUCGUAGAUAUUAGGAGGAACACCAGUGGCGAAGGCGGCCUGCUGGACGAUGACUGACGUUGAGGCUCGAAAGCGUGGGGAGCAAACAGGAUUAGAUACCCCUGUAGUC
rnacentral:rRNA from 1 species